rnacentral:tRNA from 1 species
GUAUGGGUGCCAGAUGUUUAAUGGGUUAGUUUUAAGCGCUGAAUAUGAGUAAUUUUGCUCCCCGUAUA